AACGAACGCUGGCGGCAGGCUUAACACAUGCAAGUCGAACGCAUCCUUCGGGGUGAGUGGCAGACGGGUGAGUAACGCGUGGGAACGUGCCCUUCAGUUCGGGAUAACCCAGGGAAACUUGGGCCAAUACCGGAUACGUGCGAGAGCAGAAAGAUUUAUCGCUGAAGGAUCGGCCCGCGUCUGAUUAGCUAGUUGGUGGGGUAAUGGCCCACCAAGGCGACGAUCAGUAGCUGGUCUGGGAGGAUGAUCAGCCACAUUGGGACUGAGACACGGCCCAAACUCCAACGGGGGGCGGAGGGGGGGAAUAUUGGCAAAGGGGCGCAAGCCUGAUCCGGCAAUGCGGCGUGAGGAAUGAAGGCCUUAGGGUUGUAAGGCUCUUGCGUCCGGACGAUAAUGACGGUACCGGAAGAAGAAGCCCCGGCUAACUUCGUGCCAGCCGCCGCAGUAA
rnacentral:rRNA from 1 species